AAAUAACAGGGUCUGAACAAACCACUGAAACUGAAUAGCCGGGUCGGUGAUUCCUUUAGCUCUGUAACAAAAACACAAAAUGUGUCACAAGACUCGGCUCCUGCAGGCUGCACUGCUACUUAUAAAGUAAGUGUUCCAUGAAACGAAAUCCUGUUGUUUCCAAGAGCUGUAACCUGAGAAGCCUGGGGCAGACAGCAGUGAAGACCCAAAUGAAGUGGAAACCCAUCAUGGCAAACAGACUGGCCUGACUGUGGCCAGACUGGCCUGACUGCAGAGCAUGAGAACCUAAUGACAACCUACAGAAGGAUGAUGUGUUUGGACAGCACUCCUUUCCAGGGCGCAGAAGAAAACCGAGCACGAAUCCCAAGACCAGAGAUGCAGAAUUUCUUUCCCGGUUUCCUUCCUGUCACAGAGCUGUCUGGAAUGUUUAGCACUGUGCACCCUGAUUUUCACAAACCGGGAGAAGCAGGC